AUUUUGAUUUUUAUACAUAUUUACUCAGAUUUCACUCCAUCGCGUGGAAACACUCCCAAGAGCAGCUUCUCGGACAGACUUCCUCGCAUCAACAACCUUAUAUUCCACGAGAAGAAGCCUUCUCGAGGCUCUUCUCCAGCGCCAAAACCGAGGAGGAAGAAGCUUGGUGAUCUUUUCAGAGAAAGUAUAAGAGAAGAACGAGAGGAAAGCUCUGGAGGGUCAUCAUCUCUCAGCUCUCCUUAUCUCUCUGGUGAAUUCAACAAGGCCGCCAUUGAGGAGGACUCUAGCAUAAAGGAAGAGAAGAAGAAGUCUAACUGGCAGCAUCAUCGUUGUCUUCCUGGUUUCUCUGCGUGUGGUGGAAGUUUCAUGGAGAGGAGGAAGAAGAUGAGCUCUGAAACUGGGGUUGUUGCUGUGAAAUGAGAUGCAGAGAGAGCAAUAUUGUGUAUAUGAUAAAAUGAGAAAGAGAUCUCAGAGUAAAAAGCUCGUGUGAAUUUUUACAAGUACUACUUCACUUGCUGUGAUGAGAAGAAAAUGAAUCCCAUAGUUGAAGAGAUUAUGUAAAAAAGAAGAGAUGUUCUGGUGUGUUAAUAAGUGGCUUUUGGAUCUUUGGCUUGCUAAGUUUGAAAAAAUCUUACCCUGGAUUUUUGUGAUAUAAAACUUACCAUGGUUAAUGAACGUACAACAAAUAGUUUUCAUGUUCAAUGGUGAUAAAGAAAUCUUCAUUCUUGGAGUAGUUCUUAUUAACCUUUAGACUAAUUAAAACCAGUUUACUAGCUAGCCUUUUAUAUUUAAAAUUAAUUAGUUCAAUGAAAAACACUAGAAGCCUAAAAAGGACACUAAAAGCUUUAGGUGAAAGUAGUUAACCACCUAAGGGUACAAGCUCUAUUUAUAAACCGGGUGGUUCUUAAAUCUUGCUUGCAUGUUAAGGCUGUUUUGGCUCCUUAACUUAUUCGGCAAUUCUGAUGCAAACGUUCUACUUGAACACAUAAAAAUAUCAAAAACAAACAGAAUACAAAUACCAAUUUAAAGAUAUGACAACUACUAAAGAUCUUAGCUUCGAUUCAACUCCAAGCUUGUUUUUGUUUCUUUUCUUUCUAACUUUUAUAACUUAAGCAACCAAUGUCAUGCUUUGCCAUAUAUAUAUAAGCACUAGCAGUAGCUCAACUUAGUAUUUCUAAACAGAGUUCAAUUCAUUAAAAACCAAUGACAAUGCAAGCAGCUCUUGUUAUCCUGGUUUUCUCCGGUUUACUAGCAGUUAAGACAACUUUAGCAGCACAGCAUGUGAUAGGCGGGAGCCAAGGCUGGGAACAAUCCGUUGACUUUGAUUCUUGGUCGUCCGAUAAAUCUUUCAAAGUCGGCGAUCAACUUGGUAUGUUUUUCUCUAAAUUCAAUUUUCGUAAACCGACCGGUUCAUGCUAACCAAACCGUUUUUUUUGUUCGUUCCUUGUAGUUUUUAAGUAUUCCGGACUACACAGCGUUGUAGAGCUCGGAAGCGAAGCGGCAUACAAGAGCUGUGACCUGGGAACACCUGUAAAUUCCUUAAGCUCUGGAAACGACGUCGUUAAGCUUUCUAAAACCGGUACUCGUUAUUUCGCAUGUGGGACCCCAGGGCAUUGCCAAUCAGGCAUGAAGGUUAAAGUCAACGUUGUCUCUGCUGACUCCACCGCCGUUCCAUCUCCGGGUUCGGAUUCAAGCUCCGAUUCAGAUUCGGGUUCCAGCACCGGCUCAGAUUCGGGUUCGAGUACCGGCUCAGGUUCGCGUUCGAGUUCCGGUCAGGGGCUACGUGCUUCCAUUGGAUAUAUUUUAGCUGUGGGAUCGUUGGUUAUUGGACUUGUUUGGGCUUACUGAGAAAGGCUUUUGUAUUGCAUCAAAAACAUUUCGGAGGCGAGAAAAAUAAUAAUUUUGUGAGUUAUAAUCCGUAUUUGUUGUAUUUUCAUCAUUAUGUAUUUCGAAUAUUGCAUUUGUGAUUUUGUUCUUUUAUCCGUAUUUUCUCAAUUACUUUGGUUUCUCACCCGCUUCUUGUCCACUUGAUUGGUCCGGUUGGAAUAUUAUCUAUUAUGCCUUUUAAUAUGCCAACUUUUUAAUAAUUAUUCAAUCUGCUUAGAAUUUUAUUUAUUUUGUUCUUAAAUAAGUUUAGUACAGAUAACAUAAACCAUACAAAAUUCAGCGCAACCUUCUAUUCUCUCCGUUUCAAAAUGUUACAUAUUCCGGAGAUAAAAAUUGUUUCAAAAUUUUUUUUUUUUAUAUUUUCAAUGCAUGUUUUAUUAUGCAAAUUUCAAAAAACUUAAUUUCAUUUAUUGGAUUUUUAUUGGUUUAAAAUUAUGAAAAAUUAAUCACAAAAAUUAUGCACAUUUAAUAUGUUUUAUUAAAAUGUGUGAAAAAUCUAAAAUAUGUAACAUUUUGAAACUGAUGGAGUAUUACUUCUUUGAAGUUUUACAUUAGUUUCCAGCUCACUUAAACUAAACUAGAGCUUGAUCCGUGCGGAUAUUUGUUUAACAUAAUAGACAUACUAAAUUAAUGUAAUAAUUGUACAAAUAUACACACAUCAGGAUGUUUGUUUGAUUUAUAAUAAAUAACAUUUAUGGCAGAUCGACGAUUUUUAAUUGUCUAUAAUUUGUUGAUUGCUCAUAUUGCGGUUACAUGUAAAACCAAUUAAAAUGAUAUGUUAUAUAACAUAUUCGUCAAUUAAUAUUUUAACUAGAGUAACCAUUUUUAUUGUAUUUAUUUAUAAAUUAAAAUACCAAUUAUUAUAUUUAUGUAUAUUAAUAAAUAUAUCUUUCCUAAAUAAAAUGUAUUUAUUUGUUUUAGUAAGAUAGAUAGAUAGAUAGAUAAAUAGAUAGAUAGAUAUAUAUGUCUCUAAGUUUAUUUACCAAAUAAAUUCUAAUUAUAUGUUCAUUUUUGAGAAAAAUAUAUUAAAUUGAAAUUUAGAUGUUGUAUUUUUACAAUUCAAAUAUAUAUAUAUAUGUGUGUGUGUGUGUGUGAAUUAUAUUAAUCAUCAAAUUAUUUAACAUAUAUUUUAAAAAUAAUUUUCAAUGUUUUAACAAAAACAUUUAUAGUUUGUAUUCUGUAUGGGAAAUGAAAUAAUAAUAUAUAUUAAUAUAUAACAUUUAAAGUUGUAGUUACAUUUUAAAUAAAUUUGUUUUAAUAUGCUGUAAAAUUUGGUUAGAGUAUAUUCCGAUUAAUGGAUAAUUGUUGGUUAGAUAAUAAUCUAAUUAAGAUAAAAGCAUAAAAAUGAUGGUAAGUGUGGUUAAGAUAAAAAUGAAAAAUGGUAUUAUGAAUGUGGUAGUUUAGACAAUUUUUGAGAAAGUUCGCCCCCCCAAGUCCGUAAAUUUAAUAAACAAUUAUGAAAAACACAUCCAAUAACUAAUUCAUGAUUAAAACAUAGACUCUAAAAAAUAAAAUAAAAAAUCAUAAUCUUGAUAUUAUUCAGAAAUAUUUAUUUUAAAAUUAUAAUUGGUUAUUCAUAUAAUAUUGUUUAUUUUAUCUUCAAAUACAACAACAUAUAUAAGAUUUCGUUAACAUGUGUAUUUCUGAAUAGCAAAGGUCAAUAUUCCAUUUGUUACGUUGAUGAUGAAAAAUCAGCUGUAUUGGAGCUUAAACCAAGUCGAGAUUGACAAUUGGGUUAUAUGGUAUUGCUUGACGUCCGGUUAAUUAUUACUCAAUGAUUUACGAUUAUUAAAGCCGGUUAUCAGUUGUACUUUGUUUAAUAUAAAAGCAAAGCUCGUGCGUUGUACAGGUUAUCAGAGAAAUAUAUAUUGUAUUAGGGUUACAAACUUUAGGUCACAGCCGUUGUGUGAUUUUGGAGAGUUAGUGAUUUGCUUUGCCAGACCUCAGAGACGUAGCCACAUCGGUGAACUCUGGAUAAUCAAUUAAUCUAUGUGUGUAAACUUGUGCAACGUGAGUUCGAGGUUGAACGACUUCACGGUUUAGGUCGAAUAUCAAAACAAGCUUGAACACUUAAAAGAUUUGACUCUAUCUUCUUAAAUUAUUUGCUCCCUUGCUCACCGGCCGUUAGGACCGGCCGAAAAUUAGUUAACUAGUUUAUUCUUCUGAAUUCAUAUUCAACCCUUCGUUUCUCUCUAUCCAGUACUAAUUUUAUGUUUAUGUUCCUCACUAUUUGAUCAAGAAUGCAGUGUUAAUGUAAAUCAUAUUAUUUUUCAUUAAAGAUAUAUUUCCCUCAUUCAACUUUAGUCAGCUUUGAAUGUCUUUUAUAGUCUUGCUCUAAAGACGAAAACGAUAUGCUUCCCGAUUUACCUUAGAUUCGUCAAAAUUAAGGCAUCCAAAGGUAUAACUAUUAUACUCCUUCUAAAUAUAAAGAGUCAGCUAAAACCAAAUAAAAUAUUGUUGAAGAAUGAAAUCAGAGAAUGCCCGAUAGGCAAAAUAAAGAAAAUAAAUCAAGGUUUUAUUCAAACCAAAUGCAAAUAUUGACUAGUGAAUCAGUUAACAGAACAGAUUGCUCGCAAUUAAAAUUAUAAAUAGUCUUCAAAUCUUCAUGUAAGUCACAUAAACAACAUAUAAUUACAAUAGAAAAUACAAUUUACUCGAUAGAAAUGGAGAAAGUAGCUUUCAUAUUCAUCGGUCUUAUACUUUUCUCAACAUGUAAGUUUUUCCUAAAUCAUAUCUUAGUUAUUCAUCACCAUUGUAGAUUUCUGAUUAUCACCAUCGUUAUUAUCAUCAGUUCAUCAUGAUGACCAUAUUAAUAAUUAACAAUAUAUAUUAUCCUGUCUUACUCUAAUAGGCACUCUUAUUCUAGCACAAUCUUGUGAAACGGCCUCUGAUUGUGUUCAUCUGAAAUGUGUAACGAAGAUCAAAUGUGAGGACAACCAUUGUAAAUGCGUCAAUCCAAAACACAUAGCUUUACCACUUGACACGAACUGUGGUGUUGCUGCUUGCAUUGACUUUUGCAAGGCGAAAGGUGAACAAGCUUAUGCUUGUAUCUUAAACCAGUGUUAUUGUCGUAAACCUCCUAUCUACUAAGUAACAAUAUUGGCAUGUUCAACUACUGUUAUUUCCACAAAUUCCCGUUCAAGACUUUUAUUAUAAUAGUCUUUUCUAUCAAAUAAAAUAAUAAAAGAAGAUAUCAAUGUUUCAAUUCUACGAAAUUUUUCAUCAGUUGUCUUUUUCGAGGGCAUUUUUCUCGGCGUGGAUUAAAUUUCAAUCAUAUACUCAAAGUAGUAUAAGAGAUGUCAAUCCAAUCCUAAAUUGUUUUAAGCAAUGAGAAUAAAAAUUAUUUGCCUAAUCUAAACAAUCAAGAUGUAGUUGAAUGGUAUCAAGUAACUAGCAAGAAAUCAAGUUCACAAGAGCAAUGAAACUAAACAAGUAUUCAAUCAAUAGUUAAAUAUGGAUCCAUGGGCAAGGACACUGAUUUAAGGUGAUCAAGAUUCAAUCUAGAGUACUCAUACAAUGAUCAUUCAUAUUCUAUAGGUCUAGACAAUUACAAGUAAAUUAAUCUAUUUCCAUAGCAAUAAUCCCUAUGCUACUCAAGAAUCAGACAUCAAUUUCCAUUAGCUUAUAAGCUGAUAAGUAUAAAUUUUACUCCUCAAGUAGUUGUAGUACAAGAGGUAUCAAUUCAAUUUUACGACAAUGUAAGCAGUAAGAAUGCAAGUCAUACAACUUAAUCUAAGUGCAAUCAGUGUAAUCAAGUUGAUAAGUAACAAUUUGCAAUUAAGAUAACUAGUAACCAAAACAAUGGAAUAAACAAGCUAUCAGUCAACAAGUUUUCCUAAAUCUAGAACACAAAUUUAGAUCAUUUCUUUCCCAGAUAAAAACCAUAUGCAAUCAAGAACUAAACAUCAAAUUCCUUUGGUUUAAAUCAUUUAAGCAUGCAUUUCAAACAAGUCUACUAACUAUCUAACAAUCAUAGAAUCAAAUCCUUUGGCUAUUCAAGGUAGAGCAUAUAUAAGUUCAUUUAAGCAUAUCAUAAACACCUUCAGUGCAGAACUCAUCUUAAGAUCUAGAUAUGAGUGAUCAAGUCUUAUCUAGCAUUAGUAACCUUAAAUAGCAAGGAAACAAGUACAUUAAUUACUAAACACCUUAACUCUUUACUUUAUCACUCUAAUCACCCUAACCCAUAGAUAUAAUAGGAGUAUACUCACUAAUAUCCGAAUUUAUCUAAAAAUAGAUUUAUAUACUUAUAUAUAUUAAUUAUUUUUAGAUUUAACGUAUAUAAAACAUCAAGAAUGAUACUUUUAAUUGGUUUAAAUACUUGAAAAUAUAUAUAGAUAGUCAAAAGUAAAUAUCUGAAAUAGUUAAAGUAUACUCAAAUCACCAAAAAUACUUAAAAUAAUUAUUGAUUCUGUAUCCAAAAUUUAAAAUCAAGCCAAUUGAUAUGUUAAGCUUAGGUAUUCUGACAUAUGUUAUUUAAAUUUAUAGGUAAUAUAUUAUUUUAUUUAUAGAUUUUGAGAAAUUUAAAAUAUAUAAUGAUUUAAAACUUUUAAAAAUAAUUUAAAUGGAUUAUCCAAACUCGAACCAAACCCGCAAAGAUCCGAAUCGAACUCAAACCAAAAUUUAGAGACAUACUAAUAAGGCUAAAAUCUUUGACUCCGAAAACCCGAAACGCAAACCGAUCAGAACCAAAUCCGUAUGGGUACCCGAAAGCCUAUCCCUAGUUAAUUAUAAAAGGUUCAGAAAUCCAUAUAGAUGACCACUACAUAAAUCAUUAUUUUUAUUAUAUACGCUGUCUUUUGUAUUCCUCAUUCUCACUCCAUUUGUUAUUUUGUUGUGGUCACGGAAAGAGAAAUCUGAUGACAAUACUAUUGGAUUCACAAGCAUCAUAAAAUUCAUUAUUAAUAUUAAAAUUAAUAAUUACGAGUUUGAUUAACGUUUGUCGACAAAACAAAAUUUGCCGUAUGCAUCAAUCAGUCCCAUGUACAGUCAAAUUCGUAAGAGAUAAUAUUUUAUGAGCUAAAAUGAAAAAGUUUGAUAAACAAAUUUGGCAUCCAGUGAUAAUACAGGGUUGGACCGUCACCAAUUCCAAAAAUAUUGAUUAGUAAACCCAAUCAAUCAAAUAACACAAUAAUCCAAAAUAUAAACAACGUAUUAGACAAAUUUAUAUACUCAACUACAUUUAAAUACUUUUAUUGAUACUACACACAAAAAACUCGAAAUGUUAGAGCAACUAGCUAGAAAAAAAGAUUGGACUAGUCACUUAAAAACAGAAAUAACUUGGUUUCUUUUGAGCAAAAAAAAAAACUUGGUUCAAAGUGUGAAUUUGAUUACACUGUAGAGCAUAUAUAUAGUUUGAGAUUUAACCCGACAUAUGAUGAUAAAUUUAUAAUCUAAUUUCAUAAAUUGCACUGAUAUACAUUUUUAAACUUCAUUCGCUGUUGGCAGAUAAAACCCUAGCUAACUUCAAAUUCAAAACAAUCUAUUCAUUGUAUGACAUUUUAAAAUUCAUCUAUUAUUUACAUUGUAUAUCCCAUCGUCCAGCUGUAUGUAUAUGAAAUAUCGUUAUCUAGUAUCAUUCACCACUUUGUAUAAAAAUAUAUAAAAUUAAUUUACCAUAUAUAUAGUAUCGCCCUUCAGGCCUUCACCAUACCACUAGUAUAAAAUAAAAUAGCUGAAUUAUAUGGAGCCGCUUUUAUGGUUAUCCUAAAGAGGCAAUAUGUCCCUUUUAGCCAACAGAAAAAUGUCCUUUUGGAGAUCAGAAGAUCGAUUUCGCUGAAGUAAGUUGUGACUAAAAUGUUAAUGCAAAUAAUCAAAGAGUACAUUUGUAUUUAUUAGUUUCCCAACGAUAGUUGUUGCUGCAUCUAAUAUUUUCGGUUAAUUAAUGGUGCUAAUCUUCAUAUUUCAUAUAGAAAACAAUAAGAAACUAAUCCAGUAUAUAUAUAGUAAGUCAUUUUUUUUUGUUAAAUAUAUUGUCUACACGCAGUCUAGAUCAAGUAUCAUCUUAAAUCUUACUAAACGAUAAUCUUUCCUUUUUUGUUUUUGGAUAAGAAAAACGAUAAUCUUUUCAGUUUUCACUUUUCAGCACGCAAAUAUAUUUCAUAUACUGGUAAAUAUACGUUUGACAAAAAAAGACAAUUGUUAGGUGGUAGAUCUUAGACUUUUAAACGCCGCAGGACCAUUGUUGUCAAAAUAUGUAAAUGUAUUUUCAUAUAUCGUUAAAUAUCAUAAGAUAAAUGCAAUGCAUCUUUAGCUGUUUACAGUAGAAUCCAAAACUAUAAAUAAAGUGACGAGACUUCUAAUAUAUCCAAAUGUAAUCCAACAUCAACCGCAUAACAUAAUCUAGAUCCCAUUGCUGAAGAGUAAAGACAUAUAUAUUAACCUCAUUACAAAAGAAAAAGAUCAUCUCUAGUGAAUCCAAAAUUCACUUUCAUCAUCAGUUACUUUAAUCAAUGAGAGUUACUUCUCACCGCUCCAAUUUCUGACUGUCAAAUUACAUUUUCAAAUCAAAUUAAUUAAGAAAACAAGACUGCAUGAACCGGCAAGUUUUUAUAUAAUAAGUGAGAAAUUACGAGUUACCUUUUUUCCAAAGACCCUAAUUAAUUUCGAGUCAUACGUAAUCAGGGAUUUUACAAAAGCGCCACGUUACUCAUAAAAAGAGUCACGCAUGGGUCCCACCAUGAUAUUCACACGAUGAAGACGUGGAGUCCAUGAAACGACACCGUUGUAACACGAAAACUGAGUGGGCACCGUGUCCGUCUGGGACCCACAUAUUACCUUCCCCGACGAACCAAAAAAAGAAGAAGAAGAAUCAUAUAGUUCCUUCUGUCUUCACAUACCUCUCAAUCAAAAACUCUCUUUCGUUCUCUCUCUCUAUAGAGUCUUUUAAUUUAUUUUUUAAAAAUCGAUACCAGUGAAUGUUGUCUUCUUCGUCGUCAUGGUAACACCAGAAUCUCCCACGAAAGAUAAUAAUUCAGCUCCGAUGACUGUGAAAAACGACAGCGUUACGAUCAUUUCUAAUUCCUUGUACUCAUCGUCUCCUUCUGCGAAGAAACUCUUCGGUAUUUUUUUUUUCUGUCUCAAUUUCUUAUAAUCGAGAGAGAGACCAUCGUCUCUGUGUUUUGAUCUUCAGAUUUUAUAUUAUUAUUGUUUUGGUAAAUCAAGAAAUGAUUAGUUCAUGAUGAUAUUGAAUCUGACUGUGGGGUGUCUUCUCAGAUAUUAUAUAUAUAUAUAUAUAUAUAUAUAAAAGUUAAUAUUUAAUUAAAUUUAAAAAUCUUACCGCAAAACAUUUAAACCACGUGAUCUUAACGUGAUUUGGUGUCUUGCUCCAGUUCGGGUAUGCCCCGUCGUAGUAACCCUUAAUCGUCGCCGAAACGCUCCGGCUAACACGGUUGUUAGCCCCAAACCUGAAAAAAAAACAAAAGUAAAAAAAAAAAAGAUUUUUAUUCCCAAAGACUUUCCCGUGACAACAGAGUUUUUUUUUUUUGUUUCUUACAACGGGAAAAAAGGUAACUUGAAAAGACAGAGAGCUAUUUUGGUGAAUUGUGUUUCAAAAAGUUGUCUACUUUACCUGUGACCCAGAUCUGAAAUAACUGUGUAAAAGUAUGGAAACACUCUUCUUGAUCUUUGGUUCCAUUGUUUUUCACGCUUUAAUUUGAACAAGUGGGUUUUUGAAAAUUUAUAAAUUUUUACCCGGGAACUUUAGUAUAUGGUUCAUAUUUAAUCUCUUUUUAGGCAUUGCUUUUAGUGUAGUUCUUCUGUUUUAAAGGGGUUUACACUUCUUCUUCUAGUAGUUCUUUGUCUGUUUUGGUCUGUUCUGUCUUAAGAUGGUGUCUGAAUCAAAAGGUUCGAAAUACACAUGUAUGAAUGAAUCACACACAUUUACGUUCUUGUUCUAAUGUUUUUAAUUUUAUUCUACAGGAAGUAAAGAUGAAACCUUUUUCGAUACCCAGCAAUGGCUACAAUCUGACUCAGACGAUGAUUUCCACAGCGUUAAUGGCGGUAGGAUCUUUUUCUUUUUCUUUUUUUUUUCUUGUUGGAUUUGACUUAGUCAAGCUCCAGAAUCUUGAUUUUAUACAUUUUUACUCAGAUUUCACUCCUUCGCGUGGAAACACUCCUAAGAGCAGCUUCUCGGACAGACUUCCUCGCAUCAACAACCUUAUAUUCCACGAGAAUAAGCCUUCUCGAGGCUCUUCCCCAGCGCCAAAACCGAGGAGGAAGAAGCUUGGUGAUCUCUUCAGAGAAAGUAUAAGAGAAGAACGAGAGGAAAGCUCUGGAGGGUCAUCUUCUCUCAGCUCUCCUUA
rnacentral:lncRNA from 1 species